GUCCAAUCUCAGUUUAAAAACCUCCAGGGACGGUCUUCAACUCUCUUACCAUAAAACCAGAAAGAAGAUUCAUGCUUGUUUUGGAAGGAGCACAACCACCACCUGCUGAUCCACACCACGAAUUUGGAACCUGCUCCACAGCCCUCUGAAGUUGGCAGGAAGGCACUUCUGGAUGGCAGGUGGCCCUUUCC
rnacentral:lncRNA from 1 species